ACGGAGGUUAUAUCUGAGAAGCAAGUGCGUAGUAUUAACCAAUACCCAACUACAUAUUACACCAACCAACGAGCGAACGAGAAGUAACGUCAAUCAGCAGAUUCAGCAUAUAAAUAAUAACUCUCUCUAUAGACUAGAUAGAUAAGUAUAGACUUAAAAGUUAUCCAAGCUCAAUCCACCAUGUUGAUGCCGGCAGCCAAUUCCCCGUUGCCCACGACAGUGAUCCCAUCCAGCAUUGUGAGUCCUACAACGGCAACCGUCACGAUACCCUCUGUCAGUUCCAUCGUUGUCCCACCACGCUCCAUUAAUCCCUCUCAAAAAGAUACGACUCAUACAAAACUCUUCGUUGGAGGACUUCCCUAUCAUACGACAGAUAAAUCCUUGAGAGAACAUUUCGAAGUGUUUGGAGAAAUUGAAGAAGCGGUUGUUAUCACGGAUCGAACGACUGGGAAAUCGCGAGGAUAUGGAUUUGUUAUAAUGCAGAAUAAAGACGACGCAGAACGUGCUUGUAAAGAACCAAAUCCGAUCAUCGACGGACGGAAAGCCAACGUUAAUUUAGCCUUUUUAGGAGCGAAACCACGAAUUAGUACUAUUAAUGGUCUAACUCUGGGAUCACUUAGACAGUAUCCUACAUUACUGCAGGGGCAUAUUGGCGAUUAUUCGGCCUUAGCCGCUGCAGGACAAUUAGCGGUCAACCCAACGGCUGGUGCCACAGCAUUAACUGCAGCUGUUAAUAGUCCAGCAGUUUCAACGGCCUCACUAGGCCCAGGAAAAGCCAGAAGCAGCAUGUCACUUCAGCUCAUGUCUGGCAGGCUCCCACAAAACUCUGCAUCCACAGCAAAUCCGUACCUUCAGUCCCUCUAUGCGAAUCCCUAUGCCCUUCAAGCUAAUCAAGCUGGUCUCAUUUCUCUAGCUGCUCAGAAUCCUUUAGCCUCUGCUGCAUCCACUGGGAAUCCUUUAUUAGACGCUUAUGCGAAUCAAUAUGCAGCUGCACUUGCAGCAGCUGCGGCUGCCUAUGGUAAUCCAGGGACAAUGGCCGACUAUCGUCUUGAUACAUCACAACAGGCUGCUGCCGCAAAUGAAGGAUACGGAUAUAUUUAUGAGUGAUGAAACUGUGAUAAAAAAAUAUCUUUUAUAUAAAGCAAUCUGUGAUUGAAGAAGCACUUAAGGUAUGUCCGCACCUGGAAACUAUAUUCAAGCUGGCUAUGCAGCUUAUGCUCCUAUUGGGCAAAUACCGGCCGCUUAUGCAGCUGCUCCAACGGUUGCUAGCUCUGUGUCUGUAAGUCAAUCUUCAAACGUUGCUGCAGCGGCUGCUGCAGCUGCAAAUGCUGUUGUCACAGAUGCGAGAAUACAAUGAAAGCAAAGAUCACGAA
rnacentral:misc_RNA from 1 species